rnacentral:rRNA from 1 species
UGCGUAGGCGGCUUCUUAAGUCGGAUGUGAAAUCCCUGAGCUUAACUUAGGAAUUGCAUCCGAUACUGGGAAGCUAGAGUAUGGGAGAGGAUGGUAGAAUUCCAGGUGUAGCGGUGAAAUGCGUAGAGAUCUGGAGGAAUACCGAUGGCGAAGGCAGCCAUCUGGCCUAAUACUGACGCUGAGGUACGAAAGCAGUGGGAGCAACA